UACGGGGGGGGCAAGCGUUGUUCGGAAUUACUGGGCGUAAAGAGCGCGCAGGCGGCUGGUCAAGUCCGAUGUGAAAUCCCCGGGCUUAACCUGGGAAUGGCAUUUGGGACUGCAAGGCUAGAGUGCGGCAGAGGAGACUGGAAUUCCUGGUGUAGCAGUGAAAUGCGUAGAUAUCAGGAGGAAUACCGAUGGCGAAGGCAGGUCUCUGGGCUGACACUGACGCUCAUGCACGAAAGCGUGGGGAGCAAACAGG
rnacentral:rRNA from 1 species